GGGGGUCCUGCUGUAAGCCUUAGGCUGCCUGAGUGCAGGACAUGGAAUUUUGCUGUUUGUCAGCUCAGACCUCAGACCGUGAUGAAUGGCAGCCAACAACCAAUAGCAUAGCACAAAACAAUGUUCCCUAAUAUUACAUUCCUUCUAUUGAUAAGAUACUAUAAAUAAAGGGUCAAUCCUCACAACAAAUGUUUAUACUGAGUUUACCAAAACAACUCGAAGUUCAACAUUAUGAUGGAUAACUUCUAACACUCACCAUAAGCCAAAGCACAGUCCACCUCCGCUAUCAUCUUAA
rnacentral:misc_RNA from 1 species